GAACGCUGACAGAAUGCUUAACACAUGCAAGUCUACUUGAACUUCGGUUUGGGUGGCGGACGGGUGAGUAACGCGUAAAGAACUUGCCUCACGGUUAGGGACAACAUUUGGAAACGAAUGCUAAUACCUGAUAUUAUGAUUUUAGGGCAUCCUAAGAUUAUGAAAGCUAUAUGCGCUGUGAGAGAGCUUUGCGUCCCAUUAGCUAGUUGGAGAGGUAACGGCUCACCAAGGCGAUGAUGGGUAGCCGGCCUGAGAGGGUGAACGGCCACAAGGGGACUGAGACACGGCCCUUACUCCUACGGGAGGCAGCAGUGGGGAAUAUUGGACAAUGGACCAAAAGUCUGAUCCAGCAAUUCUGUGUGCACGAUGACGUUUUUCGGAAUGUAAAGUGCUUUCAGUUGGGAAGAAAAAAAUGACGGUACCAACAGAAGAAGUGACGGCUAAAUACGUGCCAGCAGCCGCGGUAAUACGUAUGUCACAAGCGUUAUCCGGAUUUAUUGGGCGUAAAGCGCGUCUAGGUGGUUAUGUAAGUCUGAUGUGAAAAUGCAGGGCUCAACUCUGUAUUGCGUUGGAAACUGCAUGACUAGAGUACUGGAGAGGUAAGCGGAACUACAAGUGUAGAGGUGAAAUUCGUAGAUAUUUGUAGGAAUGCCGAUGGGGAAGCCAGCUUACUGGACAGAUACUGACGCUAAAGCGCGAAAGCGUGGGCAGCAAACAGGAUUAGAUACCCUGGUAGUCCACGCCGUAAACGAUGAUUACUAGGUGUUGGGGGUCGAACCUCUGCGCCCAAGCUAACGCGAUAAGUAUCCGCCUGGGAGUA
rnacentral:rRNA from 1 species